rnacentral:rRNA from 1 species
UACGUAGGGUGCAAGCGUUGUCCGGAAUUAUUGGGCGUAAAGAGCUCGUAGGCGGUGUGUCGCGUCGGCCGUGAAAACCUGCAGCUUAACUGUGGGCUUGCGGUCGAUACGGGCAUCACUGGAGUUCGGCAGGGGAGACUGGAAUUCCUGGUGUAGCGGUGAAAUGCGCAGAUAUCAGGAGGAACACCGGUGGCGAAGGCGGGUCUCUGGGCCGAUACUGACGCUGAGGAGCGAAAGCGUGGGGAGCAAACAGG